rnacentral:rRNA from 1 species
GACGAACGCUGGCGGCGUGCCUAAUACAUGCAAGUUGAGCGAUGAAGCUUGGUGCUUGCACCAAUUUGAAGAGCAGCGAACGGGUGAGUAACGCGUGGGGAAUCUGCCUUUGAGCGGGGGACAACAUUUGGAAACGAAUGCUAAUACCGCAUAACAACUUUAAACAUAAGUUUUAAGUUUGAAAGAUGCAAUUGCAUCACUCAAAGAUGAUCCCGCGUUGUAUUAGCUAGUUGGUGAGGUAAAGGCUCACCAAGGCGAUGAUACAUAGCCGACCUGAGAGGGUGAUAGGCCACAUUGGGACGGAGACACGGCCCAAACUCCUACGGGAGGCAGCAGUAGGGAAUCUUCGGCAAUGGACGAAAGUCUGGCCGAGCAACGCCGCGUGAGUGAAGAAGGGUUUCGGAUCGUAAAACUCUGUUGGUAGAGAAGAACGUUGGUGAGAGUGGAAAGCUCAUCAAGUGACGGUAACUACCCAGAAAGGGACGGCUAACUACGUG